UUUGUAGUCUAAGUGUUCUAAAAAUGUCCAUCACUACCUCCAGUCUUCUAUUAUCCAUAUACUUACCAGUGUCAGAAGGGGAGAGGCCAGUUUUCCACUGAGUUCUAUAUCAGUUCCUCAAAAGGACUAAAUAGCUAUGCUAGUUUUCAUGGAGCCAGCUCCGAUCUAAUGUGUGUUCAGGGAAGUGGAUUUCUUUGACCAGUCAGUGUGGGAGGCAAAAGAGGCAGGUGAUAGUAAGGUCAGCUCCAGGGGAAUUACAUCAGGAAGGACAGUUUCCAAAUUACAAAGUAACAGAUGACUGAUCAAAUUUAAUGCAUGAUCUCAUACAGAACUAAUAUCUGAAUGUCUGACUUUUCACUCACUGAGAAUAUUUUGUCAUAGGCAUAGCUUCCUUCUGGAUAUCUCUUUUCAUCCUGCUGUAGAAUGCAUUGGUCACUUCUGAAGGACAUAGAUCCUGCUUUGUCAUACUAUUAAAAUUAUCCCAAGGGAUGUUGGAUGUUUGGAAUAAGGAGGAGGAAAUGAGAAUUGCUCCCAGCAUUUCACUGACUAUUCUAGAGUUUCCUGACCUCAAGUUUCUUCUUUCUGUGUGUCUCUGUGUGGCAUCUGAAAGACUGUUCAAUCCUACUAAUGAUACUCAGGGUGUAACAGGUCAGUAAACUCUUGUACUAGAUUUGACUUCCACGGAUGUCACUGAAAGGAACUUUGUUUUUAAAUUAUAUGGCAAGAAGACAGGAGGCUACAGUUAGCCUCUCAAAGUUCUGAGGGACUCAGUAAUUCUGAAAUGUAAGCUCAGUUUUUGGCUGAAAAUAUUAAAUUGGUUGGCAGAUAACUGGCUUGCAGAAUCUAAAAAUGCAUAUUUCCCGGUUCAUUUGCAGUAUUGAGAAGUGGAUGAGAAUUUUGGUACAAAAUUAAGACUUUUUUUUUUUUUAAGAAUUUAUUUAUUUAUUUGACAGUGAGAGCUCACAAGCAGCGGGAGAGGGAGAAGCAGGCUCCCUGGGAGCUGGAUGCAGAGCUUGAUCCCAGCACCCUAGGAUCAUGACCUGAGCCGAAGGCAGACACUUAACUGACUGAGCCACCCAGGGGCCCUGAUACAAAAUUAGACUUAAGUGGUUUUUAUGGGAACAUUCUCUUUAGAUGAAAGAAGUAUUUUCUGUUUAUUUUAUAGCUUUAGAGAGUUUUUAACUGAAAUCUAUGAGGAUAGAAUGUUCUUGGAAUUAAUUUUAAGCUCACAACAUUAAUUUUUAUUUCUGUGUUUUCAAACUUUAAAUGCAUAUGAAAUAUAUACUAUAUACAGACUUCCUUUUGGGGGUUUUGGGUAAGGUUAAAUCCUCAUUUUUGUCAUAUCUUAUUUCAAGAUCACAUAUCCAUGUUCUGUUAUGUAGAAAACCUCAUGCAAAAACUGGGGCUGUUAUACUUUGUAAGUAGACAUCUUUAGAAACAUACAUUGUAGUAUAGUAGCUAUCGUUACUGCCACGAGGAUACACAGUUUGAGAGUUUGAAAACAGACCCCACUGAGUUUUUAUUAAUAAAUUUUAAAUAAUGAUAAUGGUGAAUGUUAUU
rnacentral:lncRNA from 1 species